UACGUAGGGCGCAAGCGUUGUCCGGAAUUAUUGGGCGUAAAGAGCUCGUAGGCGGUUUGUCGCGUCUGCCGUGAAAGCCCGGGGCUUAACUCCGGGUCUGCGGUGGAUACGGGCAGACUAGAGGCAGGUAGGGGAGAACGGAAUUCCCGGUGUAGCGGUGAAAUGCGCAGAUAUCGGGAGGAACACCGGUGGCGAAGGCGGAUCUCUGGGCCGAUACUGACGCUGAGGAGCGAAAGCGUGGGGAGCGAACAGG
rnacentral:rRNA from 1 species